rnacentral:rRNA from 1 species
CGGGGGCCCGCACAAGCGGUGGAGCAUGUGGUUUAAUUCGACGCAACGCGCAGAACCUUACCAGCCCUUGACAUCCCGGUCGCGGACUCCAGAGACGGAGUUCUUCAGUUCGGCUGGACCGGAGACAGGUGCUGCAUGGCUGUCGUCAGCUCGUGUCGUGAGAUGUUGGGUUAAGUCCCGCAACGAGCGCAACCCCCGUCCUUAGUUGCUACCAUUUAGUUGAGCACUCUAAGGAGACUGCCGGUGAUAAGCCGCGAGGAAGGUGGGGAUGACGUCAAGUCCUCAUGGCCCUUACGGGCUGGGCUACACACGUGCUACAAUGGCGGUGACAAUGGGAUGCUAAGGGGCGACCCUUCGCAAAUCUCAAAAAGCC